rnacentral:rRNA from 1 species
CGUGUAGGCGGUUUUUAAGUCAGGUGUGAAAGUUCGGGGCUUAACCCCGGAAUUGCAUUUGAAACUGGAGAACUUGAGUACUGGAGAGGUAAGUGGAAUUCCUAGUGUAGCGGUGAAAUGCGUAGAUAUUAGGAGGAACACCAGUGGCGAAGGCGACUUACUGGACAGAUACUGACGCUGAGGCGCGAAAGCGUGGGGAGCGAACAG